rnacentral:rRNA from 1 species
UACGUAGGGUGCAAGCGUUAAUCGGAAUUACUGGGCGUAAAGCGUGCGCAGGCGGCUGUGCAAGACAGAUGUGAAAUCCCGAGGCUCAACCUCGGAAUUGCCUUCAAAACUGCUGUGCUCGAGUUCGGAAGAGGUGAGUGGAAUUCCCAGUGUAGAGGUGAAAUUCGUAGAGAUUGGGAAGAACACCAGUGGCGAAGGCGGCUCACUGGUCCGCAACUGACGCUGAGGUGCGAAAGCGUGGGGAGCAAACAGG